rnacentral:rRNA from 1 species
CCCUUAGAUGUUCGGGGCCGCACGCGCGCUACACUGAAGGACUCAGCGUGUCUCUCCCCCUAUCCCGAAAGGGAUGGGCAACCCGUUGAACCUCCUUCGUGCUAGGGAUUGGGGUUUGCAAUUAUCCCCCAUGAACGAGGAAUUCCCAGUAAGCGCGAGUCAUCAGCUCGCGUUGAUUACGUCCCCGCCCUUUGUACACACCGCCCGUCGCUACUACCGAUUGGAUGGUUUAGUGAGACCCUCGGAUCGGUCCCGACUCGGGGUGGGCUUCUGCCCCGGUCGUGGUUUCGCCGAGAAGACGGUCAAACUUGACUACCUAGAGGAAGUAAAAGUCGUAACA